GACGAACGCUGGCGGCGUGCCUAAUACAUGCAAGUAGAACGCACAGUUUAUACCGUAGCUUGCUACACCAUAGACUGUGAGUUGCGAACGGGUGAGUAACGCGUAGGUAACCUGCCUGGUAGCGGGGGAUAACUAUUGGAAACGAUAGCUAAUACCGCAUAAUAUUGAUUAUUGCAUGGUAAUUAAUUGAAAGGUGCAAUUGCACCACUACCAGAUGGACCUGCGUUGUAUUAGCUAGUAGGUGAGGUAACGGCUCACCUAGGCGACGAUACAUAGCCGACCGGAGAGGGGGAUAGGCCACACUGGGACGGGGACACGGCCCAGACGCCUACGGGAGGCAGCAGAAGGGAACCUUCGGCAAUGGACGAAAGUCUGACCGAGCAACGCCGAGGGAGUGAAGAAGGGUUUCGGUUCGGAAAGCUCGGUUGUAAGAGAAGAACGGGUGUGAGAGUGGAAAGUGCACACUGUGACGGUACCUUACCAGAAAGAGACGGCUAACUACGUG
rnacentral:rRNA from 1 species